UGCUCGCGUGAAUGGCGGUGAACCGGGCAUUUCCUAACGUGAGAACUGCUCCCAGGGACGCCAGAUGCAGACAGACCUCUGUUCUCCAAGGAGACGACCGUCCAAAAUGAUUGAUGUAUUUGGUGAUAAAUUUGAGUCUUGGCGAGUUGAAAAUAAAAGCCGGGCAUGUCGUGGCUUUUUCCAGCCACGGUGUUCUGUCGGCCUCCCUGACAUGGAUUCUGUUCCGUUUCUCUCCAUCCGCAUAAUCAAAGAAACGCGACCAGAUCGAAAAGCCCCGAACGUGAAAUCAUUUCUCCGCCGUACAGCCUGUGGCUCCGCAGGGCGCUGUUGACGAGGCGCGUGCGCCCCAGCAGGCCGGCUUCGUCCAGAAAACUCGGGGGGCAGCGGAGCGGAUGGAACGUUCUAGCAUCGAAGCAGAAGACAGUGGGGAGGUUCCCUGCUUAAGUGGAAGGAAGACCAACGAUCGCAGCGUUGCAGCUGCUUCACCUCAAGGAAACCUGGGCGUAAUCAACUCCAAAUUCUAUUUUCAACCUGAGAACCAUUAAAGGCGAGAGAAGUCCUCUUGAGUUGAACGAGGGCUUUGGGCGUCAUUUAUUCUGGCAGAUGCUCGUAAGGGCCUGGCGCAGCCUGAUCGGAGGUAGAAACGCGAUCCUAGAUACAAGACAGAUUAAGCGCGGGAAUUAUUUGCCUUCUCACUUCUUAUGUAGAAUCCCGUUUUGUGUUGGAUCGCUUUUCUUCUUGUUUUCUUCUUACCGCUUCCAUAUUAUUUGACAAAAUGUUUCACCUUGCCGAUCCGAAGGUGCUGAUCUAUGUUGGAGGGAAAUCUUCUUUCGGAUGGAUCCAGCCAGUUGUGUUUUGCUUGUGGUGACAGGGACUUUCGGAGUGCGGAGAGGCAAGCUGAGGCCCCGGACUGUCCUCCCCGUAGCAUUUGCUCCAGGAAAGGUCAGAUGUUCCCAUUUUGCUCUGACAGUAACUGAAACAGAUGAGAAACUGGGUUUAUUUCACGUGAGGAAAUCACCUUCAAACGAGACUAGGUUUGCCCUGGGCGGAGAAACAGCCAACAUGGGAUCCGAGACCCAGUGCUCGGCCCACAGGCAGCCAAUCCCCUCUCCACCCAGCAGCUUCGGCCACUUCUGAACAGUGUGUCAUGGAAAUGUGAGUAUAGGACAGAUUUUAAGGACAAAUGGGAUAUCCCUUACAAGCAUUUCCAUCCAGGUGGUCCCUGAGACGUGAUAACGCAGAGGAUCAGUAUGUAUUGGGGAAAUUUUUCUCAACCAAAUUUGGUCAAGCAGCAUCUGACUUCAGAUGACCUCCAGGCAGAUUUCCCAGAGGAAGAAAAAUCUCAAGCAGUGUCUGUUUCAAGACCAUAGAGCGACUGUAUUGUGUCCAAGGUCCCUGUUUGAAUUCUGGCUCUGCCAUGAAUUGACUCAGGAAAUAUUUAUUGAGAGCCCACUGUCUUCCAGGCAUAAUGGUUACCACUGGAUGUGCAACAGCAAAUGAGACAGCCCUUGUCCUGUGGGCUUCAGAGUCUAUUUAAAAAGCCAGGCGAACAAAUAGGCAAUUAUAACACAGGGUAACAAAGCUAUGACAGGGAGGUGCAGUGCAGUGAGCCCCCGGGAAGAGCACCAAUUCAGAUUUCUAUGGCUGCUGCAACAAAUUGCCACGAUGCAAUGCUUAAAACAACACAGGUUUAUUAUAUCACAAUUCUGGAGGUUGGAAGUCAGCCAUGGGUCUUGCUGAGUUAAAGCCCAGGUGUCAGCAGGUGCGUUCCUCCGGGAGGCUCCAGGUAGGACCCAUGUCCUUGCCUUUUCCAGCUUCUAGAGGCCGUCUGCAUUCCUUAGCUGGUGGCCCCUUCCCGUCAUCAAAGUCACGGAUGGCCAGUGGAGUCUCUCGUGCCUCAUUUGUAAGACUGAUUCCCCUACGUCUCUAUUCCACAUAGAAGUGUUCUUAUGACUCCAUUGCCUCCCCCAGAUAAUCCAAGAUAGUCUCUCCCAGCUUAUCAACCU